UCUGCCCCCCCUUUGUAAAUUGUACUUGAUAACUUCUAUUUGAUCUUCAAAUGUAAACAGUUUCUGUUUCAGAUUUGUGUGACAAACUGUUUCUAAAACGAAAAUGAUCUUAAAAGUUAAGAGCUGCUGUUUACUUUCCCUUCUUAAUCCUAAGAACAGCUUUUUGUAAGAAAAGCCAGUUGAUUUGAGUCUGGUAUUCUCUGUCUACAUUGAAUGUCAGACAGGUCUCUCCAUUCAUCCAGAAAGAAAACAAUUGAUGUAUUUUUGUGUGUCGGGUUAAUAGGAAAUAGUUUGGAAACUUCAUUCAGAUUUCUUUAAAACCAGUAUGGACCGUGAAUUAAGGUCCAAUGGAGCUUUGUGUUUUUAAUCAGUCUAAAACCUAAGAACUAUCAUCGAAGGUAACAGUUGCCUGACAGAGCGUGUUUGUUUGUUUUUUAAAUUGCAUGGACAAAACACGGAAAACGAUCGUUCAGAUUGUUGGGAUCAGUGGGCGGCGAUUAAAACUCAGGAAUGAGUGAGAGGAGUGCAUGAUUUAUCCCCAGCUCUAACCGUGAGACUUUUGAACAAUCCAGUUAGCCCCAGGUAAAACGGGGCUAAUAGCUAUCCAGCAAGGAUGUGAAGAGGCAUAAUGCGUUGCUGUUUGCAAAGCGCUAUGAACUCCUCGGAUGCUAGGGAAGUGCAAAUUAUUAUGAUUAGUUCUUUAUUUUUAUUUGAAGAAAUGUCUCGUUUUGGGAACUCCCUAGGCGAAGCUUGGGCUUUUCUCUGCACGCCAGGCACGUGGUGCGAAAUGCCAGAAACGCUGUAGGCUACAGUGACACGCAGAUCAUAAAAUCCAGCUAAGGAAAACCUCGUUCUUCGAAAGAACCGACUGUUCCAACUCAAGCUGAGUGGCAUCGUUGCAUCUUGAAAUUACAAUCUUCCUUGGUACUCCAUGUGGGCUGCUUGUUUCCAGCAUGUCUAAGAGCCAGAACUCCAAUUAACUUCUGUUUGGAUAUUGAGUAUGCAAGGAAUGCAAGAUUGGAUCUUGUACGUUGUUAAUAGUAGCUACUUAUCUAAAGCAAGGAUCUCAAACUCAAAUCACCACAAGGGCCACAUGAGGACUAGUACGUUGGCUCGAGGGCCGCACCACUGACACCCUUUCAUAUAAAGGCAUCCUGCCUCUCUAAUGGUGGUGCAGGACCUACAAGGCCAUAUAGCAACAGUAUCCUAUUGGGAUCCAGGAAGUGGGCAGGCUUCACUACUAAAGGACGUCCCCCAAGCCUAAUGGGAGGAUCCACAGGUCCGGGAUACCAAAACAAUCUCAAAUCAAGAUCUAUUGACACAGUGCAGCCAAGAGGCUCUGAGCACCAACAUUGUCAGGAGGUUGGAGAUGGAUCGGUCAUGUGCUGUGGAUGGAAGCUGAUUCCAUCACCAGAGUAGCAAUAAGAUGGACACCUGAAGGCAAGCGAAAAUGAGGCUGCCCAAAAACAAUGUGGUGAAGAGCUGUGGAAGCCAAGCUGAAAAACCUGGGGCACAGCUGGGAAACUAUUGAAAGAGUUGCCAGAAACAGACAGGAGUGGAGGAGCUGCGUCACUGCCCUAAACACCAGAGGCGUAAUUGGAACAUGAUGAUGAUGAUGAUUCUGUAAUUCUAUGAUUUGUUUAUUUACCCUUUUGUAACUUUUAUUUUGGUGGUGGAAAAAAACAACUGGAAGAUUCUG